AUUGCCGUCACUCUUUCUUUCAAUUCUAGGACUCAAUCAGAAACCCUAAUUUCGCCUCUUCACUGGAUUAUUUGCAUCUUUUGCUUUCCAAUCUUCUGCUCAUCUUAUCUUCAAUCUCGGGUUUUACUUUCUCUCUUCAGUCGGUUGCUGCAAGAUGGUUUGUUGCUCACCAACACCUUUAAUUCCAUUGAUCGCCCUAUCGUGCAUAUUUGAUUUUAAUGUUUGACCUAAAUGAUGGAGGAAUUCUGAUUUAUCUAUCAAAAGGUAUGAAAUUUCGGAAGUGGAUCCGUGAAACAAAUUUUGCAGUUAUUCAACCAAAUACAACGAACAAGUUUUGGUGUUAUUCACUUAUUCUUGAUGACUUCAGAAAAGAUUCCAUCUUGGACAUAUCUCAAAAUUUUUUUUUCUGAUGUUGGGGAAUAUGCACUCGAAUCACAUCAUGGAUUUGUUAUUCAGUUAGGAUUUAGUAGAGACACGAAACUUGGAUUUCAUGUGGAUCACUUAGAGGUAACCCGUGACUUUGAAUGUUUUCUUGGGGGAAUAGUUCUAUGAUAGAGAGUUCUAUUUUAGAGUUGUGAGAUGCAAAUCACACACAUGAAUAAGCACUAUCUAGGGACAUGAUCAUCUAUCUCUGUUAUUUGGGUGGGUGAAAACUUAUCUGAGAUUGCACAUACACAUUGACAUGCCAUUUUUUAUUACUCUCAUAUAUCGGGGUAUGCGAUUCACCAUCGUGGUCGCAUCGACAUAGUGCCAGAGCUUAGAGCUAGCACAGCCGAUCAGAGAAUCAACUUAUUGCUUUGGUGCAGAAGGUACAUAAUCCUUCUUUCAACACUAUUGUUUGAUUUAUUGUUAAUUCAAGUUUCACUAAAAACAUAACAAAAUAUAUUUCUUAAGAUGCUGUACUCUUAAGUUUUAAUUUAUUUUUUCCAGAGAAUAAAUUGGUAAUAUUUUAAUACGGGUUGGCCACUGAUAUUUUUUGUUUCAAUUUCUUUAAACAUAAAUAAUCAAUGUGUUGAACAUGGUUAAAUAACUUUAUUAUGAAAAAAAAACUAUUCUAACUUCUUUAGGCAAUAUGGUGUGCAGCCAAGCCUCUUGGUGCCCUCCUUCAUUUGGAUGAAUUUGAUUGGGCCAAUAAGGCUAAAAAAUGGGGUCCAAAACUAGAGCCCUUUAGCGCUCGCCAUUGCCCGUCGUCACUCCACACCGAUUAGCGACUUAAGAGGUUGUAAGUAUUUAGAUACACUUCGAGUCGCUUUUUAUAUGACCCAUGCCAUUUUAACUAACUGUUUUUAUUUAGAAAUAUACCGCAUCUUAAAUCAAUAGUCAGUGCUUUAAAGCACUAGAAAACAACAUAGAUAGGAAAAAAAAAUAUUAACUAUUCAAUUUAUGAUGGGUCCACAUAGAUUUGUUCUAAUUUUAUGCUCUGUUAAAUUCUCAUAUUUAAAUCAGCAAAUUUUGGACCUUAACAUGCUAAACUAUUGCUUUUUUUUCUUUUUUUUUACUGCACUUUCUUUUGUUUUGUUUUAAUUCUUUUCAGUUUAAUUUUAUUAGAUUAUUUUUUUGUAUUUAAUAAUUUAUUAUUUAGCAUAUCAACCCCACAAAAUAAAAACACGUUACCACUAUAUUUUUAGGAUUUCAUUGUCGUUUAGAGGAGAAAGAUUUAGGAUAUUCCUUACUUAUUCUGCUCGCCUUAGGCUGUGCGGUGUGGGGGUCGUCCCCGCCCCGUCCUGGAUCGGCGCCGCCGUCCCCCCCCAUUUCGCCCCCACCGCCGGCGUCCUGAACGUCCGCAUGAAGACGUUGGAGACAGGCCUCCCCCUCUCUCACACACCUAUACAUACAAUAUAUACAUAUAUAUUUUAGGUCCAUCCCCCAUUUCCUUACCUCCAUCCUCUUUGCCCCAUCCUCACACCCGAUCUACGUGGCGGACCAUCCUCCAAAGAUGGACCCAUCACCAUACCGCAUAGCCUUAUUAAAGCGGCUCACUUUUCACACGCUAACCAUAAUUAUUACUGUUAUCGUUAUAGCUUUUGUUUGUUCUUUGCAUUUCUAUAAUUGUGAUCUUCAGGUUGCCCAAAGUUGAGCUUGAGCUGGAAUUAAUCUUCAGGGAAAAAAAACUUGAAGUGUUACUUAAUCAUAUGUCUCGCAAGUAUUGAUAGUGUUUUUUCUAUUUUUAGUUUUAUUUCAAUAAUGGUUGAUUGAGAAUCAACUUAUUUCAAAUAUAAUCGUAAUAACUUUUUUUAAGAUGAGAUAUAUUAUUGUUAGGAUUUAAGUCAUGUGUGGAAAGUGGAAACCUUGAAAUUGUGUUAUGAAUUAUAAUAUAAUUGUAUUUACCCA